ensembl:snoRNA Gm22163 small nucleolar RNA SNORA70
UUGCAGUCACUUAAGCUGUCCAAGUUCCUUUCCUCACAAAGGCUUAGAGAGCAAAGGCCUCAAAUAGUGGCCUCCUUAAGAGUGCAUGCAGCCUGUUUACCUAGACAGGUUGCCCAAGAUAACAUAUUCACAAUG